AACGAACGCUGGCGGCAUGCCUAACACAUGCAAGUCGAACGAGACCUCCGGGUCUAGUGGCGCACGGGUGCGUAACGCGUGGGAAGCUGCACUUAGGGUCGGCAUAACUCCCCGAAAGGGGUGCUAAUACCGGAUCAUGUCUUCUGACCAAAGAUUUAUCGCCUUUGGUUGGGCACGCGUUGGAUUAGCUAGUUGGUAGGGUAAAAGCCUACCAAGGCGACGAUCCAUACCUGGUCUGAGAGACAGAUCAGCCACACUGGGACUGAGAAGCGGCCCGGACUCCUACGGGAGGCAGCAGUGGGGAACAGAGGAACAUGGGGGGAGGGCUGAACCAGCUAGGCCGGGUAAGCGAUGAAAGCCUUAGAGUUGUAAAGCUCUUUUACCCGGGAUGGUAAUGACAGUACCGGGAGAAUAAGCUCCGGCUAACUCCGUG
rnacentral:rRNA from 1 species